AACGGUCGGCAGGCGAUCCGCCUCGGUCUCGCGGGUGGUAUGGUUCCCCAGAGGCCGGUUCUUGUGCUGCCUACCCCUUCAGGGGAAGCUGGCCGCUCGAUGUAAGCCUCCAUCCGGCGCCUUCCAACGGGCGCAGGAGGACAACGGAGCACCCCCCGCGUUCCACCGAUCCACNNGGGNNAGGACUCACGUCCCAGUCCCGAAAUGAAGCUUCGGUAUAGUGCUGACGGCCGCUCCCGCCCCCCGACCGCCCCGGCGGCGCGGGGGCGAGGGGCGGCGUCGCGGAGGAAUGCUACCU
rnacentral:misc_RNA from 1 species